rnacentral:rRNA from 1 species
AUACGGAGGGUGCAAGCGUUGCUCGGAAUCACUGGGCGUAAAGCGUACGCAGGCGGUUUACUAAGUCGGGUGUGAAAGCCCAGGGCUCAACCCUGGAACUGCAUUCGAAACUGGUAGACUUGAGUACGGGAGAGGAGAGCGGAAUUCCUGGUGUAGAGGUGAAAUUCGUAGAUAUCAGGAGGAACACCCGUGGCGAAAGUGGCUCUCUGGCCCGAUACUGACGCUCAUGUACGAAAGCGUGGGUAGCAAACAGGAUUAGAUACCCUAGUAGUCC